AGUGAACGCUGGCGGUAGGCCUAACACAUGCAAGUCGAACGGCAGCACAGUAAGAGCUUGCUCUUACGGGUGGCGAGUGGCGGACGGGUGAGGAAUACAUCGGAAUUUACUUUUUCGUGGGGGAUAACGUAGGGAAACUUACGCUAAUACCGCAUACGACCUACGGGUGAAAGCAGGGGAUCUUCGGACCUUGCGCGAUUGAAUGAGCCGAUGUCGGAUUAGCUGGUUGGCGGGGUAAAGGCCCACCAAGGCGACGAUCCGUAGCUGGUCUGAGAGGAUGAUCGGCCACACUGGAACGGAGACACGGUCCAGACGCCUACGGGAGGCAGCAGUGGGGAAUAGUGGACAAUGGGCGCAAGCCUGAUCCAGCCAUACCGCGUGGGUGAAGAAGGCCUUCGGGUUGUAAAGCCCUUUUGUUGGGAAAGAAAAGCAGCAGGUUAAGACCCCGCUGUUCUGACGGUACCCAAAGAAUAAGCACCGGCUAACUUCGUG
rnacentral:rRNA from 1 species